rnacentral:miRNA from 1 species
UACUUUUGUAUAUAUGUAUGCAUAUAUGUCUAUACACAAAAUAGGCCAGUUGCAUAGAUAUGUGUAUAUAUACAUACACAAACAUAUAUAUUUGCUUAUAUAAA